rnacentral:lncRNA from 1 species
UAAAUUACCAAGUUAUGUUAUCAAGAUUUCUCAGCUAUGUGACCAGCACAAUGAAAAAUACGUCAUUUACUGCAAGAAGCAUGAAUGCCCUUGUUGCAGCAACUGCAUUGUACAAAGUCACAAUAGAUGUGAUGAAAUCGUAAAACUAGAUGAUGUCAUUAAAAACGCCAAGACAUCAAAUGCAUUCUACGAAAUCGAGCAGACAUUAGCAGAAGUAGUAGAAAAUAUUGGAAAAAUCCGAAUAGACCGACAAAAGAACCAGCUGACCUUAUCUGAGACUCGGAAACAGAUUGAGAAAGAAAUCGCAGAGACCCGAAUAGCGAUCAAUAAUCAUAUCGACAAAAUACAAACAGAUAUAAUAAAGGAGCUAUGUGCAUCAGAAGACAAGGAGAGUAGAAAAAUCAGUCAACUGUUAAUUUCUCUAGAGGAAAAACAACAAGAGAUUUUGUCAUUGCAGGAUAGUAUUUCAGAUAUCAAACAGAAUGCUUCUGAUCUUCAGACUUUUUUGUCUAUGAAACGAAUCGAAAAGGAGGUUUCUGGUAAAGAUGAAUUCAUCAGGUCAAUAUCAGCUAAUGCGAAUUUGAAAAAGAUCGUUCUGUCAUUUCGUAUCAACACUGCAAUUAAAAAUCUCAUUUCCGACAUUCAAAAUUUCGGAAGGAUCACGGUUGAAAGUAAACCGUCAAAUAUUGAGCUUACCACGAGAAAUCAAAAACAAGCUCAAAUGAUGGUGGCAAAAUUACCAUCAAGAUCGUUUGGAAAUAUUAAUCUAAAGUUAAAGCAUUCAAUUAACACGGAACGAAACAAAGACAUUCUUGGUAUAAGUCUGUUACCUGAUGGAAGGAUUGUAAUUUCAAGCAGAAUAAGUUAUUUUGACAACGGUACUAUAUCCGUUCUGAACCCAAAUCGAUCCCUGGAUUUUGAAAUAGGAUUACCAUCACCAUCCUUUGAUGUAACAUACAUUACAGAAGACAAUACUUUGGUUGUAUCAUCUGGUUAUUCUUAUUCCAGGUGUAUUUACAUUAUUGACAUUCAAAACCAAAGAGUCAAGAAAACUAUUUCUUUAAAUGGGUAUAUAUAUGGGAUAACAUAUAAUAGAGCCGAUUUAAUUUAUUCUGGGCGAUAUCAAGGAAUUCGAAUGAUAAAUCCUAAUAACGAGACCGUCAGCGAUAUAGUUGUAGAUGAAAUGCAGUCCGAAAGCUACGUUACAACAUUUGGUGACAAGCUGUAUCAUACCAACCCGGAUAAAAACACCGUUACAUGUUAUAAUCUACAAGGUAAACUACAAUGGACAUUUCAAAAUGAAAGUGUUUUGCAGACACCAGGAGGCAUCAUCGUAGAUAGCAGUGGUGACAUAUACGUAGUAGGAUGUAAAUCAAACAAUGUGAUACUUAUCUCUGCUGAUGGAAAACAACACCAACAAUUGCUAUCUACCAAGGACGGUCUCUCCGAACCAAAGGCGAUUCAUUUUAGUAUGGAAAGAAAAAUGUUGAUUGUAGCCAAUAAAAGAGGAA